AGAGGCUUUGUUUUCACAAACCCCUCGGGCAGUCAGUCCCGGUGCUCCUGCAGGGCUCCGAGGAAACAGUCAGCUGGAACAGCAGGGAUGAGCUGAGAUCCUGGGCUGGUGGAUGAGGUGGAUCAGCAGGGAUGAGCUGAGAUCCUGGGCUGGUGGAUGAGCAGCUCCGUGGCGGUGCCUGGCACUGCCACACGUCCCGGCAGGACAGGGGGUGCGAGGCCACCAACAAAGAGGG